GGGACCACAGGCACAUGCCACCACCCCUAGCUGUUUUUAUUAUUUGUAGAGAUGGGGUCUCACACCAUUGUAGAGGCUGGUCUCGGACUGCUGAACUCCAGUGAUCCUUGGUCUCCCAAAGUGCUGGGAUUACAGGCAUAAGCCACUGCUCCAGGCCUCAACUUCUUUUUUAUUUAGCAAGGUGACAAAUUUUGAAAAGAAAAUUCUCACUGCUGGUAAAGGUGUGGUGAUAUGGGAAAGUUUAUAGUGCUUAAGGGAAUUUUAACUGUACAGUCUUUCUAGAAAGCAAUUUAACAAAUUUGCAGGAUCUUGCCACAAAAAGUCCAUCCUCUUUCACCCAGAAAGCUUACCCUUCUUGUCUAUCGUGAGGUAAUAACCUCCAACACCAUCAAAUAUCCAUCUAUAAGCAUUACUUAUAAAAUUACUUAAAAACUUAAUCUAAAUAUUCAACAAUCCAAAGAUUUAACCAUAGAAAAAUAGUUAAAUUUGGAGAUUUCUGUAUAACACUAGGCUGUCCCUAAAAAUAUCAUGGGAAUUUAAUGAUUCAGAAAAAUGCUUUAGAUACAAUAUUAUGGAGAAAAACUAGGAUAUAAAACUGCCACAUGAGCUCAAUAUGGAUUUUUAUGUUAAAACGGUUUAGACAAACUUUAAGGAAAUACACAAAAUGCUAGCAGCAGUUAUAGGUGGUGGAAUUACAUACAAUUUGAGUUUUCUUUUAUGUCCUUCCUUUUCUGUGAGGUUAUUAACAAGUUAAAUCAGGUGUAACACAAGUAAAUGGACAACACAGAUAACAGAGAAUGUCCUUUUUCUGUCUACAAGGCUCUUGAAGGCAUAACUAGAAUCAAAGAGUUUUUUAAAACUAUGGGGAGAUGAUAUUAGUAUAAUCUAAAUAGAAAAACUUUCCUUAGAGGAGUCUAAAAAUGGAAGAUAGGGCCUCAGAAGGGUGAGUGACAUGUUACUGGAGUUCAAGUUUACCCUGAAUAACCUUCCAGCCAUUCAUUAUGACACCUACUGGGAAUCUAUUAUGUGCCAAGUAGUCCUGUAGUCACUAGAGAUCUCACGAGCAGCAAGACAAAGUCCCUGCCUCCAUGAAGCUUACCUUGCAGUGGAGGAGGAAGACAAUAACACCAUGUCAGAGGUGACAAAUCCUAGAAAAAUACCAAGUGGGCCAAGGGGAGAGUGAAAGUGGACACACUGGUGGUGGCUAUUUUUGAAAGAGGCAUCAGGGUAGGGUUCCCCACUUCAAGUGAACUAAGCAAGCAAGGAAUAUGGAUCUGCAGGGUUUGAGAGUUCCAGGAGGAAGGGACAGCCAGCCUGACAUGCAGAGUAAAUGAAGGACAGUCAAGGACCAGGGAGGAAUGUAAAACUAUGCACGGCCACAGAGAGCAUCUAUGGGCACCAAGAGGGGAUGAAAGGAGCCACUGUUGCCACAACCCAAGACAGGCAAUGGGGUGUCCCUGCAGGAAACAGGGAGCCAAAGGUUCCUCCCUGGCCUCCCCUAACACUGGAUGCUUGCUGGCAUUUCAAGGACUGCAAACACUGUAGAAUCCAAACUCUGUUCAUGACUCUGCUAAUGCUUGAGAGAAAACGGCUCAACAACAACACACGGUACUGUUGACGCCCCCUGCCAGGUUUUGCUGGGAUUGACAAAUUUGAUGUUAGGUUUCACUUAGGAAUCCUGCUGACUGGCAGCCCUCAGGAUACGCACGUGCUGGCACGUUGGUCCCACUCCCCAAAUUGCCUCCCGGAUUUGACACACCCUGGUGACUCAACUUGCCUUCUCGUUAACCCAAAGCCCUUUCUUUGUUUGACACAUUUUCCCACUGUGGGCAGACUUUCUGCCUUAGGAGAGCUGACAUCAAUAGUGCUAUCCCAUGCAGCAAACCACUAGAGACAACACAUUACUGGGGAGGGCGUACCGGGUGCUGGGAGACCUGGGAACAGUGUGUGUCUCAGUGAAGCUUACAGAAACCAGGCUGUUCAAUUUAUUUCUCUGCUGUUAAUUUCAAGGUGCUGCUACUGCUACUUCAACUGUAAUAGUGUCUACAAACAAUUUGCACUUUGGAAUGGCACAAUCCCAGGGGGUAAUUAACAAAUCCAGGGAACAAUCUUUUUAAAAGCCUUUAAAAGCAACAGAGACUGAGGCCACCUUCCAUGAAAUAGAAUCACUCCACUUUCUCUGUCAUUUCAGAAGAUACCUGGCUGACUCCUAGAGAGGUUUAGAGAGCACAGGCCCUGGGCUUUAUGGAAAGUUCCUCAAGAUGUGUUAAUUAGAAAUAAAAUGCAGCACAGUUAUCGGCUGCAGAGCUUUCUGAGUGAAGCAGGCUCUGAAGAGGGACUAAGAUUUCAAGAGUUAGAAGCGAAGUUCACAAAGGGCCACCGAGGACUGUGAAUUCCAAACAUACCGUUCACCGUUCCAAGGUAGAAGACGGCAUUCACCAGCACGCCUCCUUUCCGGAAGUGGUCGCUCAUGUGCUCUAACCAGUUGGCGUCCAAGCCGUUCACUGU